CUGGGCCGAGAGCAGCUCUGAAGCUCCAGAGAGCCACCCCGUCAGGUUUCUUGUGGAAGCUCCUGUCAUCCGUGCUGCAGCAGGCCGAGCACUGCAUGUUUGCCACAUGCUGCCCGUGACAGCACAUCAAGCCACAGCGUUUGUAGACAGGACAGAGGGGUGCCCGCCCCCUGCCCCUGCUGGCACAGCAGUUCCCAGGCCCUUGGGCAGGCUGGGGUGGCGGCAGAGGCCACAGCACCAGCUCUGACAAGUCCCGUCAUCCUCUGCUCAGCAGUGACCUCCCUGGCCCCACUUUGCCCAGAGUUUGGGGUCCCUCCAGGUAUAGCUCUAGGCAGCAGUGCCUAUCUCUGGCCUGCCUUGAUUUCAACCACACCCCUGUAGCCCUGCACCCCACCUCUGGGGCAUGCAGAGGUUUGUGUCUCCAAGGAACCCACAGCUGGAGAGAAAUAGGAAGAUGCAGGAAGUAGGGUCCAUGGGGCUCCUAGGAAGCAGACUCUCCAAGGGGUACCCCCACCCCACUACCUUCCCCACAGACGGGCCCCUCCCAAAGCCCACACCCUCCUGUGAGACCAUUCCAGUGUCUUCUAGAAAGACUUGCUUGCCAGGAGUGCAUUCUUUGUUGAAAAAUGCCCUAAGGCGAAAAGAUGCAGGUUUAUAUGGAACCCCCCACCCCCAUCCCCACUCUUCCCCACUCUGUUCGUUCUGAAUGUCUUCAUGAGUGUGUGUCAGAGCGCCCGGCUGCCUCACCGCAACCAGUGAGUCAGACACAGGUUUCCCAGCCAUGUUUCCUGGCUUCGAGGACACGGGUGGCAGGCCCCUUGCUGCCCAGGGCCACUGGUCCCUGCAGGGCGCUGCCUCACCAGCAGGAAGGAGGAAGGCUGUGGCCGCAGCCUGACGGGGAGGCGGCCUCCCGCUGUGUGAGUGCAGGAGUCCGCCAGAGCCACCUGGGCCUCUGAAGGGCCUUCUACUGGAAAUACCCUCACUGCCAAGUGGAGACUGCGGCGUGUGCCACAUUGCCAGCCACCAGGAAAGCGUUUCUUUUUCUUUUCUUUUUUUUUUUUUUAAACACCAAGAGCACAUAUAGCACGGGGGAGAGAACCUGAAUGUCUGUUCUGUGAGCUGGUGAAAAACCCAGCGUGAGAACGCAGUGUCAGGCCCCUUCUGCCCGUGCAGUGGGUGUUACGGGCGGUGUGCCCUGGCGAGCAAGCUUUGAUUCUUGGUUCUUUGAAGCUCGUUUCAGAGGCUGAGUCCCCACAUCAGCUUUAGUUCUUGGACUUCCCUAUAUUAAGCAAGAAUUAGGAGAAUGGCGGUCCCCGCAGGCGCCUCCUGUAAAUCCUGAGCUCUCUGGCGCAAUCCGAAACUUCUCUUGUUUUCUUUGGCUGUAUCGGCCGAGCCAGGAGAGGCCUGGGCUGUGACUAAGGAGAAAGACAUCAGGGGUUUCUGAGAGCAGACGGUGGCUUUGUGGGUGCAGGGCUUUUGUGGAAAUUGUCAGCCUCUAUGGGAAGUGUCCGGCAUCCCCUCCCCAGACUGCCUGCUGUCACCACAGAGCUGCUGGAGCCUGCCUUGCCCACGGCCCAUUUCCACCCGGGCAUGUUCGUCUCUCACGACUUGGGCAGAGGCCCCCGGUGGUCCUGAGUUUCAGUUUCUCAUCCAGGAAGGUAACCAUGGGCAUUGGCAGUGGGUUUCCAUAUGGCUUGGAUCCAAAUUAGAGUUGAUCUUUGUUUUCACUUUCCAUAGUUAAUAACAUGCAAAAUAAUGAGAAGAAUUUACUUUAAGGUGAGAGCUGUAUUGGUCCAACAUUGCCUGCUUAUUGCCAGGGUACAGAAUUUUAAUACUUUCUUAAUCUAGUUUUUCAAACUUCUCCUUGUAGACCAUAAGGAUGAAUUCCACGAUAGGAUCCUUUUUCAAAUCUAUUUUAAAUGGUUGUCUGGUCCUGCCGAGGUUAUUAUCUGCAUCUGCUAUUUUUUCAAUACACGUAAACAGGUACAGCGUGAUGCUUCGUUUCAUGUCCUGUUCUUAAGCUCGUUAGAGCCAGUUUUGAAACGUUUGGUCUUACGUGGACGGAGGCCGGCUUGGCUUAGCCGUGCUGAUGAGUAGGUGAGGGACGUCUCCAUCUUGAGGUCACCAGGCAAGAGAGUUGCCUGCACCAGGUGGGAGGCCAAGCCCCUGGGGUGACAGUCCCCACCGCCACCUGAGGUAAGAAAAUAAAAACGAUGUGGUUGCGCUCAGGCCUCUGUCAUGCCUGGUGUCAGAGAAGGCAGAGCCCACAGUAGGGUGCAGGGUACAAGGCCCUGGGAGGGCGCCGGCCAGGGAAGGUGGUAUAGAUGGCCCUCAGAUUGCUGGGCCCCGAGCAGCUCCCCGCCCUGCCCAUCCACCUGCCCUGGCUCCAGCCUCGUUCUCUCUUUAGUUUAACUGUGAAAAGAGGAGGUUGAGAGUGUUCUGGUGACUGGAGCUCUUCUCCUUGUCUUUCCUGCCUUCCGACGGGGCCACCUGUGUCGGGGCAGCAGGGUCCAUGUUUAUGCAGAUUGGAGGUGCCCCUACCGUGUGACCGCACUGUACUGUGCUGCCCGGGUAGCCAGGAAUCUCUCCGUCUCUCCCCUGCCACCCGCCUGGUCUCAUGGGCCUCCUUCAUACACUGCUUCCUGUGGAUUGCCUGCCUGGGCCCAGAGCAGGGGAACUGGAGUUUAUGAGUGAGCAGAGCGUGUUAUGUGCAGACAGGGAAACGAGAACUUUGAACCUGGCUUUCUGAGGCCAGGGGAGAGCUGCGUGGCCCCCGACACCACUCUGCCGCCAGAGGGAUGUGCCUGCUGAGCCUUUUCCUUCCACACCGCCCCUGGCUGCCGGGCCAGCGGCUUCCACUGAGACUCCCUGGAGAGCCGGCUCCCGUGUCCAUCCACCGAGCACUCAGACGGAUGCUGAUGACCAGGCCGAGGGGGAGCCCAGAAGGACCCCAGGCCCUGGGUAGGGUGGCUCUGGGAGGCCAAGUCCACUGUCCGGAAGUCUGUCAGCCCUAAGCCAGGGAAGACUGGAGCUUGGCCUGGCGGGUCUGGGUGGACGCCGCUCCCCCUCCGGACUCCCUGCACAGGGGAGGAGGCCUGAGCCUCUGUGGCCCUGUAGCCGUGGGCAGAGCUGGGCCUGUCCUGUGUUCCUGCCUGGCAGGUGCAGGUGCUGGCCGUUUCAGGCGGAAGGAGGUGGGAAUCUUGGAUUUUUUUCUUUUUUUGAGAUGGAGUCUUGCUCUAACACCCAGCCUGGAGUACAGUGGUGCGAUCUCGGCUCACGGCAACCUCCGCUUCCCAGGUUCAAGUGAUUCUCCUGCCCCAGCCUCGCGAGUAGCUGGGAUUACAGGCGCACGCCACCACGCUUAACUGAUUUUUGUAUUUUUAGUAGAGAUGGGGUUUCACCAUGUUGGCCAAGCUGGUCUCGAACUCCUGACCUCAGGUGAUCCACCCAACUCGGCCUCCCAAAGUGCUGGGAUUACAGGCGUGAGCCACCGCACCCGGCAGAAUCUUGGAAUUUUUAUAGAUAGCACCUCAGUUUCUGACUCCAGCUGCGUACUUCCUGCCUCUACCAGCAGGGGUUGCCACCAGGCCAGAGCCAGGGCCGGGUCCCUGCGUCCAUCCCCCCGGUAGGAUGGACAUGAGCCAUCCUUCUAGGGGACUUUUUUCAGUGUGCGACUCCUCUCUGUUAGGUGGGAGGAGCCGGUGUGUGUGGCCUGUGCCAUGCUCAGCAGUGCGUGGCUGGGCUGUGUGUGUGUCCCCUGUUCCUGCAGGGCCCAGCAGGCAUCGUAGCGUGGCAGCUGUGUCCGAGCCACUGCCCGGGCAUCCCACGACCCGCCAGGGUGCACGGUCACUCCCGCUGGGGGCUUUCUGUCGCAUGUGUGUCUCCUGUCGACUCUGCACUUCGUUCUCAGAGCAGAAUGUUUCCUGUUCUCAGUGCGUGAAGACACUGGUUUUCGAUCUGCGUCUAGAACCACUUUCCUGCCUUUCAUUGUAACACAGUGUGUUCAUUUGUUUAAAACAGAGUUUAAUGAGUAAUUUAGAUCUGACUGGUCAAUAUCUUAAAACUUUAUAUUAAUAAAAAGUUCUUCCUGGAAUUUUUCUUUCAAUUCUGGCAGAAUAAACAGGUGUUUUUAAGUUUUCCCACCGUCUGAGCCAAGCAGGACCCUGUCCCCGAGCAAGAGAUGUCCCCUCCAUCCCUGACCCCCUGCCUGGGACAAGCCUUGUUGGGGGCCCCCAGCUUCAGGGCUGUGGUGGGAACAGCACCCGCAAAUGCCAGCCUCUCCUUUCUUCCCAUCCACCAGUUCACUACAAGGCCAUUUCUGGUCCUUAUGCAACAGGAAGCCCAUUUCUGAUGGGAUGUGCCUUCCAGUGCCACAGGGCCACUGACCCCACGCAUCUCUGUCCUGUCCAUCAGUGCUGGGAUGGACAGCAAGGGCGAGCCCAGUGUCUGGCAGAUAGGUGGGUGGGAACGGAGAGGGGAGAAUGCCAUCCUAAGCCUGUGUUUGGGGAGCCCCCACACAGCCUGGGUACUGCCUGGGAAACCUGUCCUAAGUAAAACAUGGGCCUGGCCUCGCCCACCGGCCUGCGAAGCCAGCGUCUCCGUGAAGGUGGAUGGAAGCACCUUUGUCCUCAUUUUGAGCUGCAAGCUGGGUCAGCGGCUUCUGAAGCCCUCAAGUGACUUUCUUUUUUUUUUCUUUUUUGAGACGGAGUCUAGCUCUGUUGCCCAGGCUGGAGUGCAGUGGC